UACAGAGGGGGCAAGCGUUGUUCGGAAUUACUGGGCGUAAAGGGCGCGUAGGCGGCCUGCUAAGUCGGACGUGAAAUCCCUCGGCUCAACCGAGGAACUGCGUCCGAUACUGGUGGGCUUGAAUCCGGGAGAGGGAUGUGGAAUUCCAGGUGUAGCGGUGAAAUGCGUAGAUAUCUGGAGGAACACCGGUGGCGAAGGCGGCAUCCUGGACCGGUAUUGACGCUGAGGCGCGAAAGCUAGGGGGAGCAAACGGGG
rnacentral:rRNA from 1 species